AACGAACGCUGGCGGCAUGCCUAACACAUGCAAGUCGAACGAGACCAUCGGGUCUAGUUGCUCAUGGGUGCGUAACGCGUGGGAACCGUCCCUUAUGUUCCGAAUAACUCCCCGACGGGGGGGCUAACACAGGAUAAUGUACUCGAACCAAAGAUUUGUCCCCCUUGGAUGCGCGCGCGUUGGACUAGCUAGUUGCGAGGGUAAAAGCCUACCAAGGAUACGAUCCCUAGCUGGUCACAGAGGAUCAUCAGCCACACUGGGUCUCGGACGCGGCCCAGACUCCUACGGGAUGCAGCAGUGGGGAAUCUUGGACAAUGGGCGAAAGCAUGAUCCCGCUAUGCCGCGUGAGUGCUGUAGGCCUUAGAGUUGUAAAGCUCUUUUACCCGCGAUGAUAAUGACAGUACCGGGAGAAUAAGCUCCGGCUAACUCCGUG
rnacentral:rRNA from 1 species